rnacentral:rRNA from 1 species
UAGGGAAUAUUGGACAAUGGGGGCAACCCUGAUCCAGCCAUGCCGCGUGAGUGAAGAAGGCCCUCGGGUUGUAAAGCUCUUUUGUCCGGAAAGAAAAGCUUCGGGUUAAUACCCCGGGGUUCUGACGGUACCGGAAGAAUAAGCACCGGCUAACUUCGUGCCAGCAGCCGCGGUAAUACGAAGGGUGCAAGCGUUACGCGGAACUACUGGGCGUAAAGCGUGCGUAGGUGGUUGUUUAAGUCUGAGGUGAAAGCCCGUGGCUCAACCUGGGAAUGGCAUUUGAAACGGGGCAGCUAGAGUGCGGUAGAGGGGAGUGGAAUUCCGGGUGUAGCAGUGAAAUGCGGAGAGAUCGGGAGGAACAUCCGUGGCGAAGGCGACUGCCGGGACCAGCACUGACACUGAGGCACGAAAGCGUGGGGAGCAAACA